rnacentral:rRNA from 1 species
AGAGUUUGAUCAUGGCUCAGAUUGAACGCUGGCGGCAUGCUUUACACAUGCAAGUCGAACGGUAACAGGGAGCUUGCUCCGCUGACGAGUGGCGAACGGGUGAGUAAUGCAUCGGAACGUGCCUAUUUGUGGGGGAUAACGUAGCGAAAGUUACGCUAAUACCGCAUACGCCCUGAGGGGGAAAGCGGGGGAUUCGUAAGAACCUCGCGCAAUUAGAGCGGCCGAUGUCGGAUUAGCUAGUUGGUGGGGUAAAGGCUCACCAAGGCGACGAUCCGUAGCGGGUCUGAGAGGAUGAUCCGCCACACUGGGACUGAGACACGGCCCAGACUCCUACGGGAGGCAGCAGUGGGGAAUUUUGGACAAUGGGCGAAAGCCUGAUCCAGCCAUGCCGCGUGAGUGAGAAGGCCUUCGGGUUGUAAAGCUCUUUCGAGCCGGAAAGAAAUCGCGCAGGCUAAUACUCUGCGUGGAUGACGGUACCGGAAGAAGAAGCACCGGCUAACUACGUGCCAGCAGCCGCGGUAA